ensembl:snoRNA
AGCCGUGGAGAAAGACUUAUUGACAGGUGCAAAAAAUAAAUCAUCUUUUGUAAAUCAGAACUCAUUGUUCAGUAUGAGUUUUGAUACAUUUAAGAAGGAAUAUU